AUGGCGAAGAAGGCCGCAAAGCGAGCUGUUGGUGAAGCAAGGGGUCGGGCAUAUGAGGACCUCUACCAACGGUUAGGCACGAAGGAAGGUGAAAGGGACAUCUAUAAGAUGGCUAAGAUCCGGGAGAGGAAGACGAGGGAUAUUGGCCAAGUCAAAUGCAUCAAGGACGGAGCAGGCCAACUCUUGGUGAAGGACGAAGAGAUUAAGCAUAGAUGGCGGGAGUACUUCGACAAGCUGUUCAAUGGGGAGAAUGAGAGUUCUACCAUUGAACUGAAUGACUCCUUUGAUGAGACUAGCAUGCGUUUUGUGCGGCGCAUCCAGGAGUCUGAGGUGAAGGAGGCUUUAAAAAGGAUGAAAGGAGGCAAGGCGAUGGGCCCUGAUUGUAUCCCCAUUGAGGUGUGGAAAGGUCUCGGGGACAUAGCGAUAGUAUGGCUAACCAAGCUUUUCAACCUCAUUUUUCGGGCAAACAAGAUGCCAGAAGAAUGGAGACGGAGUAUAUUAGUACCAAUCUUCAAGAACAAGGGGGAUGUUCAGAGUUGUACUAAUGACCGUGGAAUUAAGCUGAUGAGCCAUACAAUGAAGCUAUGGGAGAGAGUCAUUGAGCACCGCUUAAGAAGAAUGACAAGCGUGACCAAAAAUCAGUUUGGUUUCAUGCCUGGGAGGUCAACCAUGGAAGCCAUUUUCUUGGUACGACAACUUAUGGAGAGAUAUAGGGAGCAUAAGAAGGACUUGCAUAUGGUGUUCAUUGACUUGGAGAAGGCCUAUGAUAAGAUACCGCGGAAUGUCAUGUGGUGA
rnacentral:rRNA from 1 species